CCUACGGGAGGCAGCAGUGAGGAAUAUUGGUCAAUGGGCGCGAGCCUGAACCAGCCAAGUCGCGUGAGGGAAGACGGUCCUAUGGAUUGUAAACCUCUUUUGUCGGGGAGCAAAAGACGCCACGCGUGGCGUUCCGAGAGUACCCGAAGAAAAAGCAUCGGCUAACUCCGUGCCAGCAGCCGCGGUAAUACGUAGGGGGCGAGCGUUAUCCGGAUUCAUUGGGCGUAAAGCGCGCGUAGGCGGCGCGUCAAGCGGGACCUCUAACCCCGGGGCUCAACCCCGGGCCGGGUCCCGGACUGGCGCGCUCGAGUGCGGUAGAGGCGAGUGGAAUUCCCGGUGUAGCGGUGGAAUGCGCAGAUAUCGGGAAGAACACCGAUGGCGAAGGCAGCUCGCUGGGCCGACACUGACGCUGAGGCGCGAAAGCUGGGGGAGCGAACAGGAUUAGAUACCCGUGUAGUC
rnacentral:rRNA from 1 species